UGGGGUCUGAUUCGUACGUGCUCGGCAACUACAUUAUGAAAACAGAUUCAGAAAAUGCAAAAUGCAAAUGGCACAUAUUGCGUAAAACAAAUUAUAAAAAUAUUCCUUGAAACAAAUGCAAAACACGCGACGCGAAUCUUUGUGAGUCUUGACAGAAAAUAUGGAAUAGAAGUGUUGGUCAAGCUCUCCAGUGCUUUAUCUGAUGGCAGAGAGGUAAUCAUGGUUGAUCAAAUAGGUGAAGGAAAUGAGCCAAAACAAAUUUCUGGGUUCUGAUUCAAAAUCGAACCAAAAAUGCUUGGUAGGGAAACAAAUUUCUGGCUUCAGAAUUAAAAUCUUACUUCUGUUUUUGUGAGCAGAGCAAUGGGAUUCUUCUGAUACACCUCCCUGCAACCAAAGGAUGUAUCGGUUAAGUUUACACUCUUCGAGCGAGUGUCGGCUCCAAAAAAAUUAGAGAGAAAGAGCAAGAUUGAAAAGAGAAGUUGAGAAAUAGAAGAAGAGUCGAGAAAGAUAAGAAACAAUUCAUUCCGUAUAUCCUUACAUAUACCCCUUUGUCUAUAGAAGUUUCAAUUCAGCUCAGCAAACAACUUGUAACAGAAAAUAUAACAGCAAAAAUAAACCAGCAAAUAUAGAUCCCUAAAUAAUCGGAGUAACAAUAAAUCAAUUCCACUACACGAUAAAGUCUCUAAACCACCCAGGGGGGGCCUUCUCAAUCGUGUGCCUUUCUGUGGUUCAUUACAAGCUGCUUCGUCCUCAACAUGUGACGUGGUUUCUUUCUUGGACUGCCCUUCUUGUAAACAUUCAAGUUGGUCCAACUGAAUUUCGAAGGUUGUAUCAUUCUUUGGUAAAAAAUAAGUAGAGUGGAGAAGUCUUAGAUGAAUUAACUAAUGGACUACGGGUGUCAUUACUUCUCGGAUUAGGAAAUCAAACUCAUGAACAACAUUCAUUUUACAAAAUAGAGGCAUAAAUUAGGAUCAGAAUCGUGAAGCUCACCUGAAUUUGAGAACAAAGAAUGAGAAAUUUAUUCUCUAAAGGGAAAUGAGAAUCAAUCUCUCAUUCCUAAGAGUUUCCAUUUUUCCUCCAUUAAUAUUUUAAUAUGGGAAAAGGACAUUCAACCCCCCAACGUUUAGGAAAAGGGACACUGCUGUACCGUACAUCCGCCUUGGCCGUAAAGCAGAAUCGAGCCAACUCUAACUCAUAUUCAACUACCAAGGCAAGUAGGAUACGAACGAAAGUAUACUUUACAACUGGAGAGAACACUUUAUUAUAAUCAAUACCUUCCUUUUGAGCAAAACCUUUUGCUACAAGCUUUGCCUUGUACCGAAAAGUUGUUUGAUUUGGAGAUCCUUGCUUCUUGGUGUAGACCCAUUUAUUGCCAAUAGCCCUUUUCCCCUUUAGUAACUCCACAAGUUCCCAAGUCUGGUUUUGAUGGAGAGAUUUCAUUUCUUCUUCCAUGGCUAACUUCCAUUGAUCACCUUUACUGCUGCGUAAUGCUUGGGGAUGUCAUCAUCAAUAACUGGAAGUACAUAGACUACCACCAUAUCUUUAGUAAGUCAUUCGGGUUUCUUUAUUUCUCUUCUUGGCCUCCUUGUUACUAUAAAAUUAUCAUUAUUUACAUCAUCAAUUGUUUCUUCAUUUUGUGGGAUAUGAGAAGAAACAACAUCUUCUUCAACUCUAGGUGUCACCUUCAUAGUUGAACCAUUUUCUGAUGUAGAACUAACUGGUACAUAUGAAGUUGCAUCAAACUCCACCCACUGCAAUAUCUAUGUGGCUUGUUCUUCACCUGUUGGGAAAUUGAAGCUUUCAUCAUUGAAGCUUUAUCAAACUUGACAUCUCUAUUAUACAAAAAAACAUUUAUCUUCGAGAUCCCAAAGUUUGAAGCCCUUUACUCCACCUUUGAAUCUCACAAAGAUAGUUUUUCUAGCACGAGGAUUCAGUUUACCAUCUUUGACAUGAUAAUAAGCUGGACACCCGAAUAUACGAAGGGAAUCAUAGUCUUGUGCAUGCUUUCCAGACCACAUUUUCAUAUGAGUUUUACCUCAAAUUGCCGCAGAAUGCAACCGGUUUAUCAAGUGACUUGCGUAGCUCACAAUUUCAGCCCAAAUUUUUUUAUCUAAACCAGCAUUAGAUAACAUACACCGUACUUUCUCCUACAAAGUACGAUUCAUACGCUCAGCCACACCGUUCUGUUGCGAGUAUAUCUCACCGUGAAAUGUCUUUUAAUACCCUCGUUCUGGCAUACUUGCAAGAAUAAAUAAGAAGUAUAUUCACCCUCAUUGUCAGAACGCAAUACUUUGAUCUUUCUGUCAGUUUGAGUCUCCACCAAUUUUUUUCAUUUCACGAAAAUCUCUAAAACCUCAUCCUUUGCUCGCAUGGUGUACACCCAUACACGUCUAGAGAAAUCAUAAACAAAUGUAACAAAAUAAUGGCUUCCACCAAUUGAUGCAGUCUUGGUUGGUCUCCAUACAUCACUGUAAACAUAUUCAAGGAUCUCACGAGUAUCGUGAUUAGCUGUAACAAACUUGACCAUUAUUUUCUUGCCUACUACACAAUGCUCACAGAAGUUUAAUUUACAGGUAUUGGUACCUUUUAAGAGUCCGUGCCUCAUCAGAGUUUGCAAAGACUUUUCUCCAGUAUGUCCUAAUCGUACAUGUCAUAGCUUGGUGGUGUCACUGUGUGCCUCAGCAACAUUUGCUUCAUCAGUUAUACCUCCCUUCAAAUAGUACAGAUUGUGACGCCGAACCCCUUGAAGAAUCACCAUAGCCCCAUGUGUAAACUUCAUUGUGCCAUUUUCAAUGGUAAUCUUGUAGCCUUUAGCUUCCAAAGCACCCACAGAAAUUAGAUUUUUCUUUAAAGUUGGAACAAAUCUAACCUCUUUGAGUUCUCUGACCAUUCCAUCGAAUAACUUGAGUCGAACUGUGCUUAUCCCCAUCGUUCGACAAGGUCGAUCAUUCCCCAUCACAACUUCACCAGAUUCCAAUUCGCUGAAAUCUGUAAACCAUUCCCUAACAUGACACAAAUGGUAGGUCUCUCCGGUAUCAAGUAUCUAUUCGCUUGAACUUGCAACAUACACCGUAGAUGUAAUAAACAGUGAGUAGUCUGAGUCUCCUUCCUCACGUGCCAUGUUUGCUACUACUGAUUUCUUCUUAUCUCUAUUUUGGGCUUUUGGGCAAUCUUUCCUCCAAUAACCCUUUUCAUGACAAAAAAACACACUCGUCUCAAGCUAUAUUUUUACUUCUCGAUUUAGAUCGAGAAUUCUUUCCACCACGCUUCUUCUUUUUCUCCAUCGCCCAAUCUCUGCUCACAAAAGCUUCAGACGAUGCUCGUUCAAAAUUUUUAUCAUUAUUUUGAAUCUCCAAGUUAGUCAAUGUUGUACAAACAUCUUUGAAGACGAUCACACUCUUCCCAUAUAUCAAGGUAGUCACAAAAUGACAAUAUUCCUCUGGUAGUAAGUGUAACAGAAUCAUAGCUUUGACUUCAUCCUUAAUAUUUUCAUCAAGAUUCUUCAAAUCAACAAGUAACUUUUCAAAUCUUGAGACAUGAUCGUGCAUUGACACCCAGACUUCAUUCGAAAGCCAUAUACUUGGCUCAUUGCAUGAAAAUGAUUUUCAGAACUUUUCAGCAGAUACUUCUCCUCCAAUGUACGCCAUAAAGUCAUCGCACAUUCUUCAUCUUUCACCAAGUAUUUCACCUCCUUGGUUAAACAAGAUCUGAUCUAACCACAGGCUUUCUCGUUCAUACGAUCCCAAAUUUCUUCAUCAUACAAGUGUCUUUUAUUUUUCAGAACAACAUGGAGAUUGAUUUGAAUAAGGGCAUCCAUAACUUCGCACCUCCACAUGCCGAAGUUGAUUUUCCCAUCAAACUUUUCAACAUUGAUUUUCUGGCCUCCUAUAACAGGUGUUGAAUAGCGAUUUGACAAAUCUCGCCUCCCACCUGAAGUAUCUCCUAAAAUAGUCUCGGUAGAUCUCUCCCCAAUUCUGGAAGUUUCAUAUUCUACAAUUUUCUCAACGAACUAUUUCCACUUGAAAAACAGCCUCUAUGAUGUUAAUUUUGGGUGAAUAAAUGCACCAAGAAAGUUCUCAGGAGAUUGGAUGGGAACUCGGUCCCAAUUAAAAACCAUAAUCCUUAGACUCUUAUCGCCUUGUUGACAGAACUUUCCUAAACAUGCAAAAAUAUACACUACUUACAAUAGACUGUCUCUCAAGUAUAAAUGGUCGUCUUCACUGUAUUUGUAAAUAGUACCGUAUACGUGAACAAUACCGUAUCCCCCAAGUACGAACCGUCGGCUCUGAUACCACUUGUGCGCGGAAUGCGGAAUCAAGCGCACCAAAUAAUUAUAGAAAAAUAAAUGACACAAUUAUUUAACGUGGUUCAGUAAUUAAACCUACAUCCAUGGAGGCAAGAAAGAAUAAUUGUUUAUUUAACAAUUAAUAAAGUACAAAUAUUUGAGUAACAAAUCUCACUUCCCAGAAACCCAAAUAUACCAAGUACUCUCACACUCUGCAGAAAAGAUAAAUUCUCCAGACACACUUCUCUCACUUCUCUAAAAAACUUAAAAAAUUAUAAGCUUAACAAAUUUUUGAGAUAAAUGAAAUGAAUGAAAUCUUUAGUUAUUUAUAGUUGAAAUGAGUUAUUAUGCAAAGAAUAAAAUAAUUAAAAAUAUAAUUUUUAAUUAUUAUUAUUUUUCAAACAUUUUGGCUUCAUCCCUUUCUCCAUUCAAACAUUUUGGCUUCAUCCCCCUUGUCCAUUCUUUCUUUUCCGCUGGCUUCCUUACAAUUGUUGGCUCCAACCAACAAUUUGUUUGACUUCAACAAAGACGGCUAAAAUAUGGAGCAGGUUUUUAGUGAUUGCCAUAAUCCAGCUCUUGUUUGCUUUUAUCAGUUCAUUGAGAGACCAAAUAAAGCCACCGUUUUUAUCAUUUUAUUUUCGGGAUUGUAUGCUUGAAAUUCAGGAAAGUAAGCUCAUCAUUGUGCCCUUCUAGUCUUUCAUUUCGUUGGCUGCGUAUUCGUCUUUCGGGCAAAUGCUAUUUCCAUGUCUAUAUGCUUAAUUCCAAUUAUAGUCCUCUAAGCAACUGAUUGCUGUGACUUAUGACUGAAAAUUCUUGGACAUUGUGUUUUUGACAAAUCCAAGCACUCACGCAGUCACGACCUUUCACGGAUUCAUGUGGAAACAAUUUAGCAAGAUUGACUUGAUUGCAUCCCAAAAUGAAUACACCAUUUAAAAUAGGCUAACAUGUACAAUAUUCUAUGAGAACAAUAAAAAACAAACAUAACAGGUAAAAUUAUGUAGAAAAUCUGGCAGAAUCUCCUUUCUAGUUUUGACAUUUCUCCCCUGCAAGUGUUGUAAAAUAAACACUUUUCAGAACGAUUCAACAUUCAACCUCAUACGGUAACAUCCAUACAUCAAUGUGAUCAAUUAUUGUUCAACAUCAUUAUCGACAAUGCUUUAAAGGCCGUUAUGGGUCUCUGCUUUCCGGGUUUUGGUCACCAUCUCUUUGCUGGCUAUUUUCCAGGCCAUUAAUUUGACAAAAUGCAUUUUGAUAUAUGUAUAAAAAUUAGUAUGAAAAAUAGCUUAUUAUAUGAAAUAAUUCUAUUUAAGAAAAACGUUUCACUACAAAAUAAUUUUUUUUCAUUGUCUCUUAUAAUUUUUGUCCUAAUUUUUGUUUUUUUUUUCCUAGGGUAUAAAAAUAUCAUUAUUCUUGCAAGGAAUAUUGCAAGCAGAUCCCCUUUUUACCAUUUCUGGAAAAAAAAAGUUGUGGCAGACUGAUAGUUGGGCAGACUCAUCUAUUCAUUAAUUGGUAAAUCCGUUGGGCUAAGUGUGUGUAUAUACACACACACAAAUAUAUACACACACACAUAUAUAUAGUUCUUUUCUAUUCCGAACACUCUUAUUUUUUUAUUAUGCGAUUAUGUUGUUAAACCAUGCGGUUUAAUAAAGUCAAUGCAGACAUGCUAUUAAACAGCAUGGUUUAAUAAUGUGUUCGCAUUAAAAAAAAUGAGAACGAUCAUAUAUAUAUACACACACACACAAACACUUUUAAGUUGUAUGGUUUAAUAGAGUCAAAUUUAAUGUUAUUAAAUUGCACGACUUUAUAGUGCAUUUAAAAUGACACAACCUGACCUAACCCAUCUGCCGGAUCUAAGGCGAAUCGUGUAAAAACUCAUUUUAUUACUUAUCUCAUGCUCAUACUUAGCUCAUAUCAUAAAUUUAAUCCAUGAAUAUAUAAAACUAGCCUCGACCCUCUACUAUAACAUCUAUGCCUCAUCCAAAAUGUAUUCAAAACUUCUACACUUCACAUCUCACUCUAUGCACAUAUAUUUCAAUUAUAUACAUAUAACAUGAUAUGCAAAAACUUGGGGUCUGAUUCGUACGUGCUCGGCAACUACAUUAUGAAAACAGAUUCAGAAAAUGCAAAAUGCAAAUGGCACAUAUUGCGUAAAACAAAUUAUAAAAAUAUUCCUUGAAACAAAUGCAAAACACGCGACGCGAAUCUUUGUGAGUCUUGACAGAAAAUAUGGAAUAGAAGUGUUGGUCAAGCUCUCCAGUGCUUUAUCUGAUGGCAGAGAGGUAAUCAUGGUUGAUCAAAUAGGUGAAGGAAAUGAGCCAAAACAAAUUUCUGGGUUCUGAUUCAAAAUCGAACCAAAAAUGCUUGGUAGGGAAACAAAUUUCUGGCUUCAGAAUUAAAAUCUUACUUCUGUUUUUGUGAGCAGAGCAAUGGGAUUCUUCUGAUACACCUCCCUGCAACCAAAGGAUGUAUCGGUUAAGUUUACACUCUUCGAGCGAGUGUCGGCUCCAAAAAAAUUAGAGAGAAAGAGCAAGAUUGAAAAGAGAAGUUGAGAAAUAGAAGAAGAGUCGAGAAAGAUAAGAAACAAUUCAUUCCGUAUAUCCUUACAUAUACCCCUUUGUCUAUAGAAGUUUCAAUUCAGCUCAGCAAACAACUUGUAACAGAAAAUAUAACAGCAAAAAUAAACCAGCAAAUAUAGAUCCCUAAAUAAUCGGAGUAACAAUAAAUCAAUUCCACUACACGAUAAAGUCUCUAAACCACCCAGGGGGGGCCUUCUCAAUCGUGUGCCUUUCUGUGGUUCAUUACAAGCUGCUUCGUCCUCAACAUGUGACGUGGUUUCUUUCUUGGACUGCCCUUCUUGUA
rnacentral:lncRNA from 1 species